rnacentral:rRNA from 1 species
GUAGGGUGCGAGCAUUGUCCGGAAUUAUUGGGCGUAAAGAGCUCGUAGGCGGCUUGUCGCGUCGGAUGUGGAAGCCCGGGGCUUAACCCCGGGUCUGCAUUCGAUACGGGCAGGCUAGAGUUCGGUAGGGGAGAUCGGAAUUCCUGGUGUAGCGGUGAAAUGCGCAGAUAUCAGGAGGAACACCGGUGGCGAAGGCGGAUCUCUGGGCCGAUACUGACGCUGAGGAGCGAAAGCGUGGGGAGCGAACAGGAUUAGAUACCCUGGUAGUCCACGCCGUAAACGUUGGGAACUAGGUGUGGGCGACAUUCCACGUUGUCCGUGCCGCAGCUAACGCAUUAAGUUCCCCGCCUGGGGAGUACGGCCGCAAGGCUA